CCUACGGGGGGCAGCAGUGAGGAAUAUUGGUCAAUGGGCUUACGCCUGAACCAGCCAAGUCGCGUGAGGGAAGACUGCCCUAUGGGUUGUAAACCUCUUUUGUCAGGGAGCAACGCCGGCUACGUGUAGCCGGACUGAGAGUACCUGAAGAAAAAGCAUCGGCUAACUCCGUGCCAGCAGCCGCGGUAAUACGGAGGAUGCGAGCGUUAUCCGGAUUUAUUGGGUUUAAAGGGUGCGUAGGCGGAAUGCCAAGUCAGCGGUAAAGUCGCGGGGCUCAACCUCGCUCCGCCGUUGAAACUGGCGUUCUUGAGUGGGCGAGAAGUAUGCGGAAGGCGAGGUGUAGCGGUGGAAUGCAUAGAUAUCACGCAGAACUCCGGUUGCGAAGGCAGCAUACCGGCGCCCAACUGACGCUGAAGCACGAAAGCGUGGGUAUCGAACAGGAUUAGAUACCCGGGUAGUC
rnacentral:rRNA from 1 species